CCCUUAGAUGUUCUGGGCCGCACGCGCGCUACACUGAUGCAUUCAACGAGUCUAAAACCUGCUCUGAUAGGGGUGGGUAAUCUUUUGAAUGUGCAUCGUGAUUGGGAUAGAUGAUUGCAAUUUUUCAUCUUCAACGAGGAAUGCCUAGUAAACGCAAGUCAUCAGCUUGCAUUGAUUACGUCCCUGCCCUUUGUACACACCGCCCGUCGCUCCUACCGAUUGAAUGAUCCGAUGAAUAUCAUGGAUUGAGGAUGCAAGCAGGUGCGCCUGUCUUCAUCUUCGAGAAGUGAAGUAAAUCUUAUCAUUUAGAGGAAGGAGAAGUCGUAACA
rnacentral:rRNA from 1 species